UGCCAGCAGCCGCGGUAAUACGGAGGGGGUUAGCGUUGUUCGGAAUUACUGGGCGUAAAGCGCACGUAGGCGGACUAUUAAGUCAGGGGUGAAAUCCCGGGGCUCAACCCCGGAACUGCCUUUGAUACUGGUAGUCUAGAGUUCGAGAGAGGUGAGUGGAAUUCCGAGUGUAGAGGUGAAAUUCGUGGAUAUUCGGUGGAACACCAGUGGCGAAGGCGGCUAACUGGACUGAUACUGACGCUGAGGUGCGAAAGUGUGGGGAGCAAACAGGAUUAGAUA
rnacentral:rRNA from 1 species